GUUAGAGCUCCCGGGGCUCCAGCAGACCGAUUUAGCUCCGUUGGGGAGGGAAGUGGCAAGGAAGAAGAGAGGAAAAGUGGGGGGAGGUGAGGGGCAGGGGAGAGGGCGCCGAGCGGAGCCACCUUGCACAGCGCCAACUCCAGCUUUAAUGACUCCAUUUGUGGAAGCUGUUUAGGAAACUGGUGAGGAGGAGGAGAAGGCCAGCAAAUGCGCCAGCUCAGGCCUGGGUGGCAACCUCCUCAUGCCCUAAGGUCUCAGUGGGCUACAAGUCGUCUUUGAUCCAGCUCUCAGGUUCAAAAGACGAUAUUGUAAUAGAGAGGCCCAGCGAGUCUCCAGUACUGUCCUUCCAGGAUCACUAACUUUGUUCGCCAUGGACUUGGGAUGGAAAGGAUCCAGUUUGCCUCAUGCUCACCUCCAAAGCCCUGGGCAGCCUACAACCCUGGGAAGCAACCUCUGGCUCAGAGAAGGGGAGUUGGAAGGCCAAGCUUAUCUCAGGCAAAGCCAGGAAGGGCACCUUCAGUCCAGGACAAACUCCACGGUCACAUGGGCUGUGGAAGGCUUGGGAUCCCAAAACGUAAGGACAUUAUGCAUAUGUGGGAUGCAGUUAUACAAAUGGGUGCAGAGCCCUACAAUACCAUUCAGCCGCUGCAGCCCAAGAGAGCUUGGUUUGCAACCGUCUUUUCUUUUCCUGGUCAGGGAAGUUGCUAAGAGGUCAGGGUGGGGGUUUGGAACUAACUUUGACCCCUAGCCAGGUUUCAGGAAGUUACUCCAGACCUCUGUCCUGCCUGCAUAUCGCUCCUGGUUUGCAAAUGGACACAUUUCCCCAUCCUGCUACAAAUCUCAGUCUAACCUGGCUACCAAAGCAACCACCAACCACAUCUUCAGCAGCCUGAGGUGGUGCUUCAGUCUGAAGACACUCGCCCUCCUCCUCCUUCCCUAGCACCAGACUGAAGUUUAUGAGGAUGGAGUUCAAGUCCUGACUCCUACCGGAGUCCCAGUGACCUUGGGAAAGUGGAAAAGCCUGUCUCAAAGUUUCAGCAGUUAGAUAAAUGGAUUAGAAACCGGGGAAUUGUUUGGUCCCACAGAAUCCCCUGUUGGGGAGCGGGGAGGAGACAGAUCUGGAGGAGAGAGAUUACAGAGAAAUUCCUCCCCUGCAGUAGCAGUUUCAUGUUAAUGAGAAAGCCCAUUAAGAUACUUGAUUUUCCAUUUAAGUGAGAUGGGUGCUUGCUAUAGUGUUGGGAGAGAUGAAGACAAGUCACCACACAGCACAGGAGGACGCACACCACGCAGAGAUGGCAGGAAAACACUGAUUUUAAUUGCACCUUUAAAAGAAAAAGAAGUAUUAUGAUACCUCCGUUCCUUCUCCAUGGUCCCAGCCAGAGACCAAGGAAGGACUCAUUAAAAGCUCUAGGAAGCACUGAGUGGGGAAACCGAGCGAUCCCCAGGGCCAGCCAGAGCUUUUGAAGGGGCUCCCCUGGCCAGUCACUUCCUGACAUCUUUUAGGGGUCUGGGGUUUUAUGGUUCUAGUUUUGAUUUCUCUACCAUCAAACUUUUAGCUUAAAAAAAUUCU